AUUGAACGCUGGCGGCAUGCUUUACACAUGCAAGUCGAACGGUAACAGGCCGCAAGGUGCUGACGAGUGGCGAACGGGUGAGUAAUGCAUCGGAACGUGCCCAGUCGUGGGGGAUAACGCAGCGAAAGCUGCGCUAAUACCGCAUACGAUCUCUGGAUGAAAGCGGGGGACCGAAAGGCCUCGCGCGAUUGGAGCGGCCGAUGUCAGAUUAGGUAGUUGGUGGGGUAAAGGCUCACCAAGCCAACGAUCUGUAGCUGGUCUGAGAGGACGACCAGCCACACUGGGACUGAGACACGGCCCAGACUCCUACGGGAGGCAGCAGUGGGGAAUUUUGGACAAUGGGCGCAAGCCUGAUCCAGCAAUGCCGCGUGCAGGAAGAAGGCCUUCGGGUUGUAAACUGCUUUUGUCAGGGAAGAAAUCCUCUGGGUUAAUACCCCGGGGGGAUGACGGUACCUGAAGAAUAAGCACCGGCUAACUACGUGCCAGCCGCCGCAGUAAAAC
rnacentral:rRNA from 1 species